rnacentral:tRNA from 1 species
GCCUGGGUGGCUCAGUUGGUUGAGCAUCUGACUUUGGCUCAGGUCAUGAUCUCAUGGUUCGUGGGUUCGAGCCCCAAGUCAGGCU